GAGUUUGAUCCUGGCUCAGGACGAACGCUGGCGGUAUGCUUAACACAUGCAAGUCGAACGCGACGGUUAUUAAUGAUCCUUCGGGAGAUUUAAUAACUAGAAAGUGGCGAACGGGUGAGUAACGCGUGGAUAACCUACCUCAUGGAGAGGGAUAGCCCCGAGAAAUUGGGAGUAAAACCUCAUAUUAUUAUCGAGUCGCAUGGCUUGAUAAUGAAAACUCCGGUGCCAUGAGAUGGAUCCGCGUCCCAUUAGCUAGUUGGUGAGAUAAUAGCCCACCAAGGCAACGAUGGGUAGCCGGUCUGAGAGGGCGAACGGCCACACUGGAACUGAGACACGGUCCAGACUCCUACGGGAGGCAGCAGUGGGGAAUAUUGCGCAAUGGGGGCAACCCUGACGCAGCAAUACCGCGUGAGUGAUGAAGGUUUUCGGAUCGUAAAACUCUGUUGUCAGAGAAGAACAAGUCGGAGAGUAACUGCUCCGGCCUUGACGGUAUCUGACCAGAAAGCCACGGCUAACUACGUGCCAGCAGCCGCGGUAAUACGUAGGUGGCAAGCGUUGUCCGGAUUUAUUGGGCGUAAAGCGAGCGCAGGCGGUUCCUUAAGUCUGAUGUGAAAGCCCACGGCUCAACCGUGGAAGGUCAUUGGAAACUGGGGAACUUGAGUGCAGAAGAGGAGAGUGGAAUUCCAUGUGUAGCGGUGAAAUGCGUAGAUAUAUGGAGGACACCAGUGGCGAAGGCGACUCUCUGGUCUGUACUGACGCUGAGCUCGAAGCGUGGGGAGCAACAGGAUUAAUACCUGGUAGU
rnacentral:rRNA from 1 species